UACGUAGGGUGCAAGCGUUGUCCGGAAUUAUUGGGCGUAAAGAGCUCGUAGGCGGUCUGUCGCGUCGGCUGUGAAAACCCGGGGCUCAACCCCGGGCCUGCAGUCGAUACGGGCAGACUAGAGUGCGGUAGGGGAGACUGGAAUUCCUGGUGUAGCGGUGAAAUGCGCGAUAUCAGGAGGAACACCGGUGGCGAAGGCGGGUCUCUGGGCCGUAACUGACGCUGAGGAGCGAAAGCGUGGGGAGCGAACAGG
rnacentral:rRNA from 1 species